rnacentral:lncRNA from 7 species
GUAUGACCUGUGCUCAGGGCACUUUGAAAGCAGGAGAACACCUUUGUGUGCCAAUGAGGAUGGAAAAAGGUGUCAGCUCUGAUCUCCUCCUGCAUGUGCUUAAUGUGGACCUGAAAGAACCUUCCACAUAGCAAGGCUGGAGAGAACCAAUGCUGUUCUGGUCUGCACUUCUGGCCAGAGAGACUGGGAGGAUUUCCAAAUUUGGAUUUGGAGGAUUACUGUCCUUUUGCUGACAAUAAAAUCCCCCACCUUGGGGAGGAUGAGGUGAGACCUCCCAGGAUGGAUUAGGUGGUGCCUGCCUUGCUCCUGCUCCUGCCAGUGGUCCCAGCAUGGCCAGGAGCUGCUGGGAGUUGGAUGAGGGGAGCGGCCCAAUGGCUGAACCAGACAGACAGACCCCACAAUGGAGAAAAGCAAAAGCAAACCCAUCCACAACUUACUGUCCGCUCUCGCUUGUUACGUCUACGAAGACCUUGAUCCUCAUUCUGGGAGCAGGGGUGGGCGAGACACCGCAAGAGAGAGAGGUUACCGCUGGGUCCAGCACCUGGCUGUGCAGACACUUACCUAGGAAGGCUUUUUUUGCUACAGCGGGGGAACUACAGGGCUC